AUUGAACGCUGGCGGCAGGCCUAACACAUGCAAGUCGGACGGUAGCACAGAGAGCUUGCUCUCGGGUGACGAGUGGCGGACGGGUGAGUAAUGUCUGGGGAUCUGCCCGAUAGAGGGGGAUAACCACUGGAAACGGUGGCUAAUACCGCAUAACGUCGCAAGACCAAAGAGGGGGACCUUCGGGCCUCUCACUAUCGGAUGAACCCAGAUGGGAUUAGCUAGUAGGCGGGGUAAUGGCCCACCUAGGCGACGAUCCCUAGCUGGUCUGAGAGGAUGACCAGCCACACUGGAACUGAGACACGGUCCAGACUCCUACGGGAGGCAGCAGUGGGGAAUAUUGCACAAUGGGCGCAAGCCUGAUGCAGCCAUGCCGCGUGUAUGAAGAAGGCCUUCGGGUUGUAAGUACUUUCAGCGGGGAGGAAGGCGAUGUGGUUAAUAACCGCGUCGAUUGACGUUACCCGCAGAAGAAGCACCGGCUAACUCCGUGCCAGCAGCCGCUGUAA
rnacentral:rRNA from 1 species